GGGCGGUUAGCUCAGCUGGCUAGAGCACUGCAAUGACACUGCAGAGGCCAUAGGUUCAAGUCCUAUACCGCCCA
rnacentral:tRNA from 1 species